rnacentral:rRNA from 1 species
UGCCAGCAGCCGCGGUCAGACGAACCGUCCAAACGUUAUUCGGAAUCACUGGGCUUAAAGGGUGCGUAGGCGGCUUGGCAAGUUGGGUGUGAAAGCCCUCGGCUCAACCGAGGAAUUGCGCCCAAAACUGCCUUGAUAGAGUGAGAUAGAGGUGAGCGGAACUUAUGGUGGAGCGGUGAAAUGCGUUGAUAUCAUAAGGAACGCCAGUGGCGAAAGCGGCUCACUGGAUCUCUACUGACGCUGAGGCACGAAAGCUAGGGUAGCGAACAGGAUUAGAUA